GGUUUUUCGGCAUCAAGAACUUAAGUUUCUUUUGUUUGGAUUAAAUCAUCAGAGUAUGUUCCAUGUGGGGUCUUCAAGACAUGCUCAGCUACUAAAACCUAUCAGUCUGCAGACAUUUCCCAGAAGAUACCUUACAGGAAUGAGCAUGUGUCCCACUUAUGGCUAAAGAGAGAUGAGAAAAAGGUUCCUGUAGACUCCUGGAAACAAUUUCCCUAAUUCUCAAGAGAUAACAUUGGGAAGCCACGCACUUCCUCCCACUGAACAUCAAGAAUGAAGUUGAGUAGAAGGUUUCUGGCAGCAAUAACUCACAUCUCCUUCCGGCUGCCAUGUGAAGAAAGACAUGUUUGCUUCCCCUUCUGCCAUGAGUCUAAGUUUCCUGAGGCCUCCACAGCCCUGCAAAACUAUGAAAGACCAUAUGCCAAUUACUGUAUGGAAGAAGAAGUUGAAUGGAUAUUGCCUCCCAGCAAAUCAACAGGCAUGUUUCCAUCCAGUAGCUGAAGAACCACUCCAAUCACAAUGUCUUCUGUUUCACAGAACAGGAAACUAAUGCAAAAGUUAAAAAACAAAUAAUCAAUAUCUACAUUGUAUUAGAUAGCUACAUAUCAUUUAUAAACUUUAUAUAAUACAUUUAUCUCUAUAUAUCUAUAUGUUUACCACAAAAAGCACGAAGUAACUUAUAAGCCACUUUUAAAAUUCCACAAAAUGUUUACCUUAAUUCUAGUGUUUCAUUUUUUAUAUUAUACUUUGCCUUUACAACAAAUAUCGGGAGAGCUGAAAGCUCAUACCAUCGGAAUUAGUUAUUUUAAAAAUGAAACACAUUUGAGGAAUAAAUUACUUCAUUCAAAUUAUUUUUGAAUGAUA
rnacentral:lncRNA from 13 species